ensembl:lncRNA
UAAAAGGUUGGGAAACAUUAUAUACUCCCCGCAGUAAACUCGCCUUAAUUUCCUACAUAGCUCGAGUCAUGGGCAUGGCCCUUCGUUCUCUUCCUGCUAGCUUCCCACACCACACACACACACACACACACACACACACACACACCACACACACACACACACACACACCACACACAAUCACACACACACACACACACACACACACACACACACACACACACACAAUGGCUGUCUUUCUGUCCAUUUUUUUAUUUUACCCCUUUAAUUUGAAAUGCAUUUAUUCAAAAUGAUAACUUUUGACAAUUGGACUUCAACAUGUGAGUCAAACGCACAUCGGACACAGGCGGACAGACAGACAGACAGACAGACCAACUAGCACAAACGCACACACAGUGACAUCCUCAGGGGCCUUUAUUGCUGGCCAGCACACAUGGAGGUCAUUUCAACAGCCUGUCUUCCCCUAAAACCCUUAAAUGGCUUUAACAGCGGGCCGAGCUAGACCAGACACAAACUAAACAGGCGCAUGAGUGUGAUUGCACACGUCCAAUGGCACACAGGAGUAUUUCAAGAUACACACACGCAACCAGCCGAGCUCAAGGGGAACGUAUAACAACGGGGAUUACAACUCCGGCAAUUGAAUUACACAUUGGGAGACAUGAGCAGGACUGAAUGCAUAUAUGUCCGCUGUGCUUAAACCUUCUGUCAAACUCAAACGUUGGUGAAGCCAUGGUUGGAAUAUGGUUACAAGAAGCCACCUGGCUGACUGAGGGAAACAACGGUUGGCUGCUGUCUGCUAAAGCCGAUAGCAGGAACGCAGCCCUUACACUAAGCACCAAACUCUGGAGCUGGAGAAGGAGUUUCCCUUACAACAUGUAUUUAUCGACAAACAGCGCCGCCUAUGAGAUCAGCCAAAACCUUGACCUAACAGACAGGCAGUUCAAAUCUGGUGUCCAGAAUCGCAGAAUGAAGAUGAAGAAGCAACACCGAAGUUCCAGGGAUACUGUGAAAACAAAACAGUGAAAACUGAUUAAACCAAGGACAUAGAAGACUGACCCUCUGAUUCAUUGACUGAAUGACAAAAUCAUUAAGUUAUUCAAAGCAUACAAUAGACACACGCACGCACGCACGCCACACACACACACAACACACACCACACACAACACACACACACACACACACACACACACACACACACACACACACACACACACACACACACACACUCAUACAAAGAUAUAUAAUCAAACACUUAAUAACACACGUUUAAUUCUGUUCCGUGUCACUUGUCCGUUUCAUCAUUGUUAUAUGGAAAUUCCAUUUAUAAUGUAGGCCUACUUUAUAUCCUGUGGGAGCUAGAAUUCAAUUUUUAAUUAAUAAGUUUAUUAGCUUGUCUUUUUGAUGCCCACUUUGAAUUAGCGCACAAUUGGUCACCUUUUUGCUUAUAGUAUUUAGUAAGGCUCCACAUCUAGUACAUUCAGCACUUUUAAAAUAGUCUUGAACAUUGCGUUUCUACGUCUCCAGUGAAGUCAGAGGGGAGCUUUUUGGAUUCCACUGCGUAAAGACAUUAGAACAAAUAUAGUAAUCCCUUGCUGACCCAGCACUUGUGUUACGUAUUGGUACUUGUUACAUCAGAAUAGCAUUGUUUUGCAUGUGUUUAAUUUACACCCAAUAUGUGGCACACAUUUGAUAUAUGCAUGUAUUGCCUGAUAGAAUGCCGGAUAGAUUGAUAACACACAUUCAAUUCGGCUUUCCAAUUUAAUGAUUAAAAUCUUCCAAUGCUUUUUUCCUCGAAGGAAUGUAUUAAUAAAGGAACGCCUAUUCAAAGUUCAGAAAGUGGAGACUUAUUGCACACACUACUUUGCAAACUGAUGCACAGUGCUAUCUAGCUAUUCAUUAAAAAUGUAAAGUAGGACACUGAUAUUCCGUUCGCUAAAUGAAGUGUAGCCUACCGGAUAUUAAACUUUCAUAUUCAGAUCCAGAGGCCACACUGACCAAAUAUUCAAUAAUGAGAGUCUUGAUUAGAGAGAGCCUCAUUGACGUCUAUCUUCAGGUAAUAUUCAAGCUCAUUUAUUUUUUAUUUAUAGUUUUAAUUGAACCAACUUGAGUGUAAAGAUUGCAUUGCCAAAUCAUAGGUUUGAUCUUAUUGUGGUGCCGUAUUCAUCACGGAGAAGCAGUAGAAUUGUAUUGAAAGUGCGGCAUUAAAAAAUAUAGCAUCGGCAUACCAUUCUAAGAUUACAAAUGGGUAUUAUUCUUACAGACGGAUUCAGCCCGAUCUAUCGUGGUCCAAAUGAAGUAUCUAUGUAAAGGCAUAUUAAACAUGGGUUAUUAUUAUUAUUAUUAUUAUUAUUAUUAUUAAUAGAAGAAGUAGUAGUCUAGUAGUAUACAGUAGAAGUAGUAGUAGUGGUAGAAGAGGCAUAGUAUUAGUAUUAUUAUAUAAACUGUUGUAGUAAUACACCUAUUACGUACUGGAUGAUAUCGUAGCCUACGUUUAAAACAAAUAGUAUUAUAACAAAGAAACUUCAUUAUUCAUUUGAUCAAUGUAGCCUACUUAGCUACCAGCCCAAUCUAUACAUUUAAUUAAAGGAAACAACUAAAUAAAUACUUUAUUCACACAUUGAAUUAUGUAAAAUUUAGGUGAGAGGCUUGGUUUGACCUAGCCUUUUAGUUUUUUGUUUGUUUUUGUUGUUUGAGUGUAUUUCGGGAAAGCCUACUUCUUCUGACUUCUAUAGCGAAAUUCCAUGGACAUCCUGAAGACGCGUGAAGUUGAAAAGCCAAGGUGCAGAUGGCUCACGAGACAUCCGCUUUCCGUGUCUCUGUUUGUGCGAGCGAGAGUAAUAAAAAAAAAACCUUAGGUCCACAGCCACAAAAACACACGCCCAUAAACAUAUUCACACAUUCUUUCUCUUGUUGUCUGCUUUUUGUAAUUGUUUGUACCUGGAAGUCCAAAAGCAGACUCUGGAAUUAUUCAUACGAUUUCAUAAAUUAUUGAGAAUGCCCGAAAGGGGAAGAGCUUCGUUUUUGGAUGGAGUAAAUUUAUUUCCAGUUAUUGAUUUAAUACGUGGUUGAGUGUCAGUGGAAAGAGUGCGUUUUAUGAAUUAUUAACCAUUCAUAACCAUGGCAUGAUCCCAUUUUUUCGCCG